UGAACUUGUUUGAUGUUUUAGCUGUCUGAGUUAUUUAAUGAUGUUAUAGUAAAAACAUCACUGGAGUUAUUCGUAAAUCUAAAUCUAAUGUGCGGUAAAUUUGAAAGUAACCUUUUUUUGGAGGAUAGAUGCCUACCUGUGUGGAUAGUUGCCCCACCAAGAAAAUACUGAGUAGGAUAGAUGCCUGCAGUGCAGGAUAGAUGCCCUUUAUAUCGUGUAAACGAAAAAACCAAACCAAAUAUUAAGAAGUUCUAUUCCUAACAGAGCAAUAAUUGUCUCCAAGAAACAUAGGUCAUAAUAAUAAAAAAUAUUUUGUAUUUUUUAAGUCUUUGAAUGUUUAUAAUUAAAAGAUAAUUGUCAUAUCACAGAAAUGAUCAUAAUUAAAUUUUUAAAGCGUUAAGUAAGCGUAAGCUAAAUUACAAUUUUUUUAGUUUCAACAUGCAUUAUCCUAUUUUUUAAUAAAAUUAAAUUUUACAAAUAUUUAUUCAACAAAAAUAUAAACUCUUAAUUGUUUAUAAAAUAUUCACAUUAAGUGUCAAUGUGUAUGUACAUUGCAAAAUCGUAUUUUUUUAUAUUAAAUUAACACAAUAAAGGUAUCUUUAUUAUUUUGUCCAA